GCCUGGGUGGCUCAGUCAGUUAAGCAUCUGACUCUUGAUUUCAGUUUGAUUUUCAUGGGAUUGAGCCCCAUUUCAGGCU
rnacentral:tRNA from 1 species